AUACGGAGGAUGCGAGCGUUAUCCGGAUUUAUUGGGUUUAAAGGGUGCGCAGGCGGGCGAUUAAGUCAGCGGUGAAAGGCUCGGGCUCAACCGGAGCAGUGCCGUUGAUACUGGUUGUCUUGAAUGCGGUCAAGGCCGGCGGAAUGUGGCGUGUAGCGGUGAAAUGCAUAGAUAUGCCCCAGAACACCGAUAGCGAAGGCAGCUGGCCGGGCCUGCAUUGACGCUGAGGCACGAAAGCGUGGGGAUCGAACAGGAUUAGAUACCCUGGUAGUCCACGCUGUAAACGAUGGACACUCGUUGUCGGCGACAGACAGUCGGCGGCCAAGCGAAAGUGAUAAGUGUCCCACCUGGGGAGUACGGUCGCAAGGCUGAAACUCAAAUGAAUUGGCGGGG
rnacentral:rRNA from 1 species